rnacentral:rRNA from 1 species
AGCAGCCGCGGUAAUUCCAGCUCCAAUAGCGUAUAUUAAAGUUGUUGCAGUUAAAAAGCUCGUAGUUGAAUUUCGGGGUUAGUAGGUUGGUCAUGCCUCUGGUAUGUACUGGUCUCACUGAUUCCUCCUUCCUGAUGAGCCGUAAUGCCAUUAAUUUGGUGUUGCGGGGAAUUUGGACUGUUACUUUGAAAAAAUUAGAGUGUUUAAAGCAAGCUAACGCUUGAAUACAUUAGCAUGGAAUAAUGAAAUAGGACGUUCGAUCCUAUUUUGUUGGUUUCUAGGAUUGACGUAAUGAUUAAUAGGGAUAGUUGGGGGCAUUAGUAUUCAAUUGUCAGAGGUGAAAUUCUUGGAUUUAUUGAAGACUAACUACUGCGAAAGCAUUUGCCAAGGAUGUUUUCAUUAAUCAAGAACGAAAGUUAGGGGAUCGAAGACGAUCAGAUACCGUAGUAG